CAUUUGAAAUAUAUAACAUUCACUGAAUCAUUAUUUGGACUUUUUGACAUCGACUCAUACUGUCAUCACUUAUGAAAUAAUGCUAUUUUAGUUAAUUAGUAGUAUACAGUAAAUGGUUUUGUAGUUUGUACAAUUAAGAACUAUUAGAAUUUUACAGGUCUAUAUAUUAUGAGAGUUGGUGUCUUCAUGUACAGUAAUCAUGAUGCUUUUAACACUCAACUUAUGUUUUUAUUUUUGUUAUAAUCUAAUAAAAAAUUAUAAAAGCACACAUUAGUUUUUAAGGAUUUUGCUUUUCAAUAAACUUUGUUUAAGAACUCUCAUAAAAACCUAUAUUAUUAUCAAACUAUACAAAAACUAGAAGAAAAACAAAAUCACCAGAAUUUCAUAUUUUUUAUGCAAGUUUAUAAAUAGUUAAGGUUUCUUCAAGUUUUAAUGUUGUGAAGAAAAUGGCAAAGGCUCUAGUAUAGCUACUCGUACUCUCUCAUUCUAAACUUCUUUAUGCUAUGAUCAGUACACUACAAACUAUUAUUUCUUUGACAAAGAUCUUAUACCAAAUUCAUUUGAUAUUUUUAAAGGAAGAAUAUUUCCUUAAUUUUAAGUUUUUACUUUUUAGCUUCAUAUUAAACAUUUUUAUUUGAGUAUUUUCAAUAAUAGAUGGUUUUGUAGUGUAGGCAUUUAAGAAUUUUGAGACUCUUAAACGUCCUCAUGAGUUGGUGUCUUGCAUAGCUUUUUGCACAUGAUGCUUUCAACACUACUCAUCUUAUUUUGGUAUCUAUUUUAAUUAUCUAAGAAACAAAAUAGCACACAUUUUGUUUUUACGUUGGUGAGUAAUUGUUUUCAA
rnacentral:sRNA from 1 species